rnacentral:rRNA from 1 species
GGGAGGGUGAUCGGCCACACUGGGACUGAGACACGGCCCAGACUCCUACGGGAGGCAGCAGUAGGGAAUCUUCCGCAAUGGACGAAAGUCUGACGGAGCAACGCCGCGUGAGUGAUGAAGGCUUUCGGGUCGUAAAACUCUGUUGUUAGGGAAGAACAAGUGCUAGUUGAAUAAGCUGGCACCUUGACGGUACCUAACCAGAAAGCCACGGCUAACUACGUGCCAGCAGCCGCGGUAAUACGUAGGUGGCAAGCGUUAUCCGGAAUUAUUGGGCGUAAAGCGCGCGCAGGUGGUUUCUUAAGUCUGAUGUGAAAGCCCACGGCUCAACCGUGGAGGGUCAUUGGAAACUGGGAGACUUGAGUGCAGAAGAGGAAAGUGGAAUUCCAUGUGUAGCGAAUC